rnacentral:rRNA from 1 species
UACGUAGGGCGCAAGCGUUAUCCGGAAUUAUUGGGCGUAAAGAGCUCGUAGGCGGUUUGUCGCGUCUGCCGUGAAAGUCCGGGGCUCAACUCCGGAUCUGCGGUGGGUACGGGCAGACUAGAGUGAUGUAGGGGAGACUGGAAUUCCUGGUGUAGCGGUGAAAUGCGCAGAUAUCAGGAGGAACACCGGUGGUGAAGGCGGUUCUCUGGGCAUUACCUGACGCUGAGGAGCGAAAGUGUGGGGAGCGAACAGG